GGGAGGAUGAGGAGGGCUCAUUCCAGGGCUGCUCCAUGUCCUGCCCUGGCCCUGCUGCACAGCCCAGGUGGAGCUAAGGCCUUGGCAUGCCAAGUUGUGCAGGGAAUGCCACAGCUUUGACUGGCAAGAACCUCACCUGCAAAUUUUGCAGAAAUUGUGGUGAAUUUCCACUGGACUCAGCAGGAGCAGGUGCCCCCUAGGACCUGCCUGCAAGGAGCAGGAUCAGCCAACAUUCUCCAUGCUGGACCUUCCUCCGUCCUGUGUCAUUUGGCCCAACAACAGAUUCUGGUGGAAUCUCCACUGCUGGUUACAAAAUACUCACAAUGGGCAUUGAAACACACUGAGUUUGCUAUUAUGUCUCUUCAUAACUUUUAUGUCUAGAAACCCCAGCUGUGAUCAGGGCCUUGUUGUGUGAGAUGUUAUGCAAAUACAUAUUUUGUACAAACAGGAUGAUGAAAUCACAUGGAAAACUUCAUAAUCAAAGCAGAAAAAGAGCAACAGGGGCAAGAAAAAGACCACAUGGAGUUGCUUCUUCAGAGUCAUGUGGUGAGCCACUGGCAAAGGCAGGAGCAGCAGUGGGUCUCCUGGGUUCCAGGCUGGUCCUUAUCUGCCAUGGCAUCCUGCCUCUUCCCAGCCACCCCACGGCUUUUCCAGUGCUCCUUUAAACUCUGCUGCAGAGCUGCAACACCGAGGGGGUUCAGAUAAUUCAAUUUACCCCUGGUUUGUCAAUCUGCUCCUCUCCCCAGAGCCCUGUGGCUGAUCUGUGCUGCUGGGAACUGAGCUGGGCUUGUUUGGUUUCCAGGGAGGAGAUAGAGCAGAGCUGGGAUGCUGCAAUGAACCCUGGAGAUGCCAUCCCAAAAACAACUCGUGGUCUCAUGCCAGGCUACCUGGCUUUAAAUUGUGUCCAACUGCUUGAGCCAGGCAACUAAAUACUUCUGAAGCUCAUUAAAUUAACCAGUUAGACCAAGGCACUAUACAGGGUAUACAGGCCAAAGAAAGCAUUGUGGGUGUGACCUUUUGAAGGAGAAUUAUAGUUGCUGCUGAUCAGGCUGUUACAGUAAAUGUAGUGUCAGUGUUUCCAUAUUGGUCUCUCUUUUUUUCCCUUUUAUUUUUUUUCUUUUUUCCCUGUGUGAAAAGGUUUGCACCUCAUGAAAAGGUUUUCAUGUGCUGUGAAAUGCGAUGUGAAACCACCGGAUCUUUGUUACCCAAAGAACUUGAUCUUUGUGUUACCCAAAGAAUCUGUGCUGUUUCUAUAGGGAAGGAGCAGCCUUUAAAACUGGGAUUCGAACUGGAAUUUGAUGCCAGCCACCCAAAUGUUUGGGGGAAUUCAGCUCGCACUUGAUUCUCCCUGUUGUGAAAAGCAUUCCCUUUGGUUCAGCACUGGAGAGGUGACAAAUCCCAGGGUCAGGUAACCCUGUGUGCUUCACUCUGGGGACACAAACAGCUUUGCAGUGUUUGUGAUUUGUUUUGGGUGGGGUGGCUGGGAGGAGGGCAGGAUGCUGCUGCAUCCCCACAAAGGGCUCUGUUACUGGGCAGGCUCUGGCUCAGCCCACACAAACGUGCAGCACUUGAUUAAUCACCUUCAUUAUGGUCAUAUUCUCACCCAGCCGGGAGCAGGGCACUGUGCAGAACCAGCCUCCUUUUGUUUCCCCUGGAACUGCCAACCUGUUUCCCCAGGCCACACCUCCUUUCUAAUUUGAGUGACAAAAUUAGGGAAAAACUGGUUUGCAUCUUGCUCUUCCAUCCGCCUGGGCAUGUCUGGGAAUCCCUAAGAAUGACUGAAUUCAGUGGUUUAAACCAUUUUCUUUUUUUUUUAUUGCACACCUCCCACAAUAACUCUGAAGUAGCUUCAUAAUGGAAAUGCUGACACGACUCGAUGGCCUCAGCCCC